rfam:Candidatus Doudnabacteria bacterium RIFCSPHIGHO2_01_52_17 rifcsphigho2_01_sub10_scaffold_2089, whole genome shotgun sequence.
CUAAAACACCGAUAAGGGUGUACGGUGAAUGCCUUGGCACAAGAAGCCGAUGAAGGACGCAGGAGCCGGCGAUACGCCUCGGGGAGCUGGCAAACAAGCUUCGAUCCGGGGAUGUCCGAAUGGGGAAACCUAUCCAAGUAAACCUUGGUUGCGCUCAUACGUGGUGUAUGGGCUGCGGUAACCAUGCGAAGUGAAACAUCUCAGUAGCAUGAGGAAAAGAAAACAAGCGCUAGUUUUUUGACUUCUAGCUUCUUAGCUUUUUAAGCGGUUUGGAUUUUUUCAAAUUGCUUAGGAAGCUACAAGCUAUUGGUUCAAAUCUCUAGCCCAUUCCCCUAGUAGUGGCGAGCGAACGGGGAGCAGCCAAAACUCUAUUCAUGUCUUGUGCUCCGCACAAGAACUGAAAAACCGAAAAACUUAAGAACUGAGGAACCUCACCUUUGCUUCCUCUCCCCUGGCGGGAGAGGGUAGGGUGAGGGGGAAGGUUUUUAGGUUCAUACGUUUUUUCGUUCUCGCGCGGAGCGCGAGAGAAAGGUUACAGCCGUUGUGAAUGCGAGUGUAGCAAGGCCAGUUGUUCGCCUCUGUAAAGGCGAGGGAAAAAAUGUUGAGCUGUCUAGUAGAAUACGCCUGGAAAGGCGGACCAAAGAGGGUGAUAGUCCCGUACGCGAAAGAUCUCAAUCGUUUCCUGACUGGUUCUUAAGUACUACGAGACACGUGAAAGCUCGUAGGAAUCUAGGUCGACUGCGAUCUAAGGCUAAAUACUUCUUGUGACCGAUAGUGAACUAGUACCGUGAGGGAAAGGUGAAAAGCAGCCCGGUGAGGGCGAUGAAAUAGUCUCUGCAACCGUACAUCUACAAUGAGCGGAAGCUCAAACUGCUUCGCAGUUUGGAAAUUCGAAGCACUAAUCUCUAAAUCCGAAACAAUCUCAAAAUUCAAACGAUCUAAAUUCAAAACAGUUUUGGAUUUAAUUAUUUGAAAAUUAGAAUUUGUUUAGGAUUUCGAAUUUCGGAUUUGGGAUUUCCCAUCUGCGAAGUAGUGGGCGACCGCGUGCCUAUUGAAGAAUGACCCGACGAGUUAUCUUACAUCUUUUGUCUAAGGGCCCUAUACAAGCCUGAAGGCGUAGGGAAACCGAGUGUUAAUAGCGCGUUUUUUUCGUGAAAUCUAAUUAGAUUCGCGAAAAAAGAAGGUGUGGGAUAGACCCGAAACCCGGCGAGCUACUCAUGGCCAGGAUGAACCCAAGGUAACACUUGGGGGAGGUCCGAACUCACUAUUGUUGCAAAAAUAGGGGAUGAGCUGUGAGUAGAGGAGAAAUUCCAAUCGAGCCGGGUGAUAGCUGGUUCUCCUCGAAAUAGCUUUAGGGCUAGCCUUCCUGAUAUGAAUUUUGGAGGUAGAGCACUAAAUCGAUAUUUGCGGCGCAAGCCGUAGAGUCGAAUUAAACUCCGAAUGCCAAAAUUUUCCAGGGGGAGUCAGACCGUGAGGUCUAAGCUUCAUGCGUCUAAAGGGAAACAGCCCAGACCGUCGUUUAAGGUCCCCAAAUCAAAGCUAUAGUGUAAAGGAUGUUUCUGUCCCCAGACAGGUAGUAGGUUGGCUUAGAGGUAGCCAUCCUUUAAAGAGUGUGUAACAACUCACUACUCGAGUAUUCCCGAUUUAUCGGGAGUGGGGAUAGGGGCGCCGACAAUGUAUUGGGACUAAGCUUUGUACCGAAGACACGGAUUUUCCGAUUUAUUUCGGAAAGUGGUAGAGGAGCAUUGUGAGUGCAGCGAAGCUGGACCCGCGAGGGCCGGUGGAGUGCUCACAAGAGAGAAUGUUGGGAUAAGUAAUCUGUAUGCAGGUGUGAAUCCUGCACGCCGCAAGUCCAAGGUUUCCUGGGCAAUGCUGAUCAGCCCAGGGUUAGCCGGGCCUAACCGAAGUGCCAAAGGGCGCUUUGGGAUGGAAGAGACGGUUGAUAUUCCGUCGCUGCCACUAGGUUAUCUCCGGAGCAACGCAUCAUGGUAGUACAGGCGUAAUCUGACUCAUUGCGUCCCUGAAUUUGUAGGGUGGCUUUCCAGGUAAAUCCGGAAAGCCGUCCCGAUUAUAUCGGGACGAGCCCGAGAGUUAGGGGGAAUCCCGCAAGGGAAAUCUGUGCAAUCCAAGGUGCCUAGAAAAACUUCGGAGUCACGCAUGGUGGCAUCCGUACCGCAAACCGACACCGGUGGACGAGGAGAGUAUCCUCAGGCGAACGAGCCAAUUUUCGUUCAGGAACUCGGCAAAAAAGCGGCCGUACCUUAGGUAUAUGGCCUGCCCUGGAGCAAUCCAGGGUCGCAGCGAAUGACCCCUCCCGACUGUUUACCAAAAACACAGGUCCCUGCAAAAGCUAAAAGCUGAAGUAUAGGGGCUGAUGCCUGGCCAGUGUCAGAAGGUUAAACCCGCUGGGGCAACCCGGUGGGCCAAGCCCUGAUGAACGCCGGCGGUAACUAUAACCGUCCUAUGGUAGCGAAAUUCCUUGUCGUGUAAGUUACGACCCGCACGAAUGGCAUAACGAGUAGGGGACUGUCUUAACGAAAAGCUCGAUGAACUUGCAUUAUCGGUAAAGAUGCCGUUUACCCGCAGCAAGACGGAAAGACCCUAUGAAGCUUUACUAUAGCGUGUCAUUGGGUCAAGAUUUAGUUUGCUUAGGCUAGGUGGGAGACUUCGAAGUCCCGACUCCGGUCGGGACUGAGUCGCAAUGUGAAAUACCACCCUGACUGGAUUUUGAUUCUAAUCUCAGUGUAACCUGCUGGGAAACAGUGGCUCGUGGGUAGUUUAACUGGGGCGGUUGCCUCCUAAAAGGUAACGGAGGCGUUUAAAGGUCGGCUAGGCGCGGAUGGAAAUCGCGCUCAUAGUGCAAAGGCACAAGCCGGCUUGACUGCAAGACUGACAAGUCGCGCAGGUACGAAAGUAGAACUUAGUGAUCCGACCAUCCAUAGUGGUAUGGUGGAAGCUCAACGGAUAAAAGCUACUCUAGGGAUAACAGGCUGAUCCGGUCCAAGAGUCCAUAUCGACGACCGGGUUUGGCACCUCGAUGUCGGCUCGUCGCAUCCUGGGGGUGAAGAAGCUCCCAAGGGUUAGGCUGUUCGCCUAUUAAAGCGGCACGCGAGCUGGGUUCAGAACGUCGUGAGACAGUAAACAUGUGCUGUCUAUAAAUCUAGCUAUAUGCUGGAAAAUCUGAGUAUCUCAUAUUACUUGUAUUGCUUACCUAGUCCUUAUAUGGUAGAAUACAAGUGACAAUAUAUGAGUGCAGACAAUCAGCAGGAAAGACUAGAUUCGUAUAUUUCCGGUUAUGUUGACGGAGAAGGAAGUUUUCACGUAGCGAUCCAAAAGGUGAAACACGUGCGAUUUGGGUAUCAGUUAUUGCCCGAAUUUCAUAUAAGUCAGAAUUUGGAUUACGCGAAAACUUUGUCUGUAAUUCAAAAGCGGUUAGGUUGCGGUUACAUCAAACCCAACCACGCCAAAAGUAAAACAGACAAAAGCUAGGUAUUUGUAGUAAGAAACAGGAAAGAUCUCUUGUAUAGAAUCAUUCCUUUCUUUACCCGAUAUCCACUUCUUUCGCCUAAACAUCAAGACUUUAGAAAAUUCGGUUUAAUCGUAAAAGCAAUGGAUAAAAAACUGCAUUUUACGAAGGCGGGUUUUAUAAAGUUAUUGCGAAUUGCGUUUUCCAUGAAUCGGAAGGGGCAAUAUCGAAAAAAGAACAUAACCGAAGUAAUCAAGAAUCUAGAAUCCUCAACGACUAUACGCUAGAUCCUCAUUAUUGAGGAAAGAUAUAGUCUGAACUGCAUGGCGACAUGCAGACUCCGAUUCGCAUCGGAGCGCCGUAGAAUUAUGAAAGUAAUGGAUACGGUUAUUAAAGUAACAGAUUGUCGGUCCUUAUCUGCUGUGGGCGUUCGACACUUGAGAGGGCUCAUCCUUAGUACGAGAGGACCAGGAUGAAUAGGGCUCUGGUGUACCGGUUGUGGUGUCAACUGCAUUGCCGGGUAGCUAAACCCUAGUUAGGAUAAGCGCUGAAGGCAUAUAAGCGCGAAGCCGUCCUCAAGAUUAGGUGUCGUUAUUCCGCCGAAAGGCGGAGUGGUAGGUUCGGGGUAGACCACCCCGCAUAUAGGCUACAGGUGUAAGCGCAGUAAUGCGUUCAGCCGAGUAGUACUAAUCAACCGAAAGUGUUUUAGUA